AUGAACGCUGGCGGCGUGCCUAAUACAUGCAAGUCGAACGAGAAGUUAUUGUAGCAAUACGAUGACUUUUAGUGGCGAACGGGUGAGUAACGCGUUGGUGACCUGCCCCGAAGAGAGGGAUAACAGUCCGAAAGGAUUGCUAAUACCCCAUGUGGUCAUUUGGAUUAGAUGCCUUAUGACUAAACGGAUUUAUUCGCUUCGGGAGGGGCCUGCGUCCCAUCAGCUAGUUGGUAAGGUAAUGGCUUACCAAGGCGAUGACGGGUAGGGGACCUGAGAGGGUGGCCCCCCACAAUGGAACUGAAACACGGUCCAUACACCUACGGGUGGCAGCAGUAGGGAAUAUUGGUUAAUCUGGGAAACCGGGAACCAGCAACGCCGCGUGCACGAUGAAGGCCUUCGGGUUGUAAAGUGCUUUUUGAAAGGAUGAGGAAGGACAGUACUUUCAGAAUAAGCUUCGGCUAACUACGU
rnacentral:rRNA from 1 species